GUCCAAUCCCCAUGUCAAGGUUCCCCGUCCCAGGCAUGGCGGCGGGGCUAAGACGGGAAGCCGGUGCUGCUCUUGAGCAAAGUCCGGCGCUGCCCCCGCAACUGUAAGUGGCGAGCGGCGGCUCCAUCUCGUGUCACUGAGUGCCCGCACGGCACUUGGGAAGGCCGGAGCCACCGUGAUGACCCGCAAGCCAGGAGACCUGCCUUUGACGCGAUAACGUU
rnacentral:ncRNA from 1 species